rnacentral:lncRNA from 1 species
CUUUGGUUUAUUAUUUUGAAUAUAAAAGUUUCACAAGAUUUUGGUAGGUAAAACUUGGCUCUUGAUUGAUAAUUUUUAAUUGUAAAAGUUUUUAAUAUUUUGGUAUAAAGGCGAGUGUCUUGAUUUAUCGUUUUAAAAUAAAUGUAUUUGAUCUUUUAAAAUGAUUGUUCCUUGGCACUUAGUUAAACCCUCAUUUGGCUUGGAGGAGCAAAAUAAAACUACUUUAGCCUAUCGAGUUGUCCCAUGUAAAUUGUUUGUUGGUGGAGAAAUAUGGGUGCCUUGGUUCAUGAUUUUAAAAGUUCAAGUCUUUUUUCGUUUGGUAUGAAAUAAUGCUUUUUCAGUGUCUCAUACUGGAAGUAUGUUAUUUUUGUAUUUGAGAAUGGGACAAUUUAUUAUUUGGAGGGAGAUAUCACUUGAUCCAUUAUUGCAAAGUAAAUUUGUUUUUUCUUUUCAACUUAAACGUUUUUUUGCAUCUAAGAAAGUGUUCCUCAAUUUCUUGGGUCGAAAUAAAACCGUUUUACUUCUUCGGACAACAUAUAUUAGCAGGUUUUUCUUCCCAAAAUUUGAUUUCUUUAGUUUAUUAUAUUGAAUAUAAAAGUUUCACAAGAUUUUGGUAGGUAAAACUUGACUCUUGAUUUAUAAUUUUUAAUUGUAAAAGUUUUUAAUAUUUCUGUAUAAGAGUAAGUGUCUUGAUUUUUUGUAUUAAAAUAAAUAUACUUGAUCUUUUAAAAUUAUUGUUCCCUGUCACUUAGUUAAACCCUCUUUGGCUUAGUGGAGCAAAAUAAAACUACUUUAGCCUAUUGGGUUGUCCUGUGUAAAUUGUUUGUUGGUCGAGAAAUAUAGGUGCCUUGGUUCAUGGUUUUAAAAGUUCAAGUCUCUUUUCGUUUGAUAUGAAAUAAUGCUUUUUCAAUGUCCCAUACUGGAAGUUUGUUACUUUUGUAUUUGAGAAUGGGACAAUUUAUUAUUUGGAGGGAGAUAUCACUUGAUCCAUUAUUGCAUAGUAAAUUGGUUUUUUCUUUUCAACUUAAACGUUUUUUUGCAUCUAAGAAAGUGUUCCUCAAUUUCUUGGGUCGAAAGAAAACCGUUCUACUUAUUCGGACAACAUAUAUUAGCAGGUUUUUCUUCUCAUAAUUGGAGUUCUUUGGUUUAUUAUUUUGAAUAUAAAAGUUUCACAAGAUUUUGGUAGGUAAAACUUGGCUCUUGAUUUAUAAUUUUUAAUUGUAAAAGUUUUUAAUAUUUUGAUAUAAAAGCGAGUGUCUUGAUUUAUCGUUUUAAAAUAAAUGUAUUUGAUCUUUUAAAAUGAUUGUUCCUUGGCACUUAGUUAAACCCUCAUUUGGCUUGGUGGAGCAAAAUAAAACUACUUUAGCCUAUCGAGUUGUCCCGUGUAAAUUGUUUGUUGGUCGAGAAAUAUGGGUGCCUUGGUUCAUGAUUUUAAAAGUUUAAGUCUUUUUUCGUUUGAUAUGAAAUAAUGCUUUUUCAGUGUCUCAUACUGGAAGUUUGUUACUUUCGUAUUUGAGAAUGGGUCAAUUUAUUAUUUGGUUGAAGAUAUCACUUGAUCCAUUAUUGCAAAAUAAAUUGGUUUUUUCCUUUCAACUUAAACGUAUUUUUGCAUCUAAGAAAGUGUUCCUCAAUUUCUUGGGUCGAAAUAAAACCGCUCUACUUCUUCGGACAACAUAUAUUAGCAGGUUUUUCUUCCCAAAAUUUAAGUUCUUUAGUUUAUUAUUUUGAAUAUAAAAGUUUCACAAGAUUUUGGUAGGUAAACCUUGGCUCUUGAUUUAUAAUUUUUAAUUGUAAAAGUUUUUAAUAUUUUGGUAUAAAAGCGAGUGUCUUGAUUUAUCGUUUCAAAAUAUGUACUUGAUGUUUUAAAAUUAUUGUUCCUUGGCACUUAGUUAAACCCUCUUUUGGCUUAGUUGAGCAAAAUAAAACUGCUUUAGUCUAUUGGGUUGUCACGUGUAAAUUGUUUGUUGGUCAAGAUAUGUGGGUGCCUUAGUUCAUUGUUUUAAAAGUUCAAGUCUCUUUUCGUUUGGUAUGAAAUAAUUCUUUUUCUUUGUCCCAUACUGGAAGUUCGUUACUUUCGUAUUGGAGAAAGGGUCAAUUUCUUAUUUGG